GACGAACGCUGGAGGCGUGCUUAACACAUGCAAGUCGAACGAUGAAAUGGAGCUUGCUCCAUGGAUUAGUGGCGAACGGGUGAGUAACACGUGAAUAACCUUCCCUUAAUUUUGGAAUAACACAGGGAAACCUGGGCUAAUACCGGAUAAGUACACCUGUGGCAUCGCAUGGUCUUGGACAGUUUUUCGAUUAAGGAUUGUGUCGCGGGCUAUCAGCUUGUUGGUGAGGUAAUGGCUCACAAAGGCGACGACGGUUAGCCGGCCUGAGAGGGUGAACGGCCACACUGGGACUGAGACACGGACAAGACUCCUACGGGAGGCAGCAGUGGGGAAUAUUGCGCAAUGGACGAAAGUCUGACGCAGCGACGCCUCGUGAGGGACGGAGGUCUUCGGAUUGUAAACCUCUUUCAGCAGGGACGAAGCGAAAGUGACGGUACCUGCAGAAGAAGCACCGGCUAACUAUGUGCCAGCCGCCGCCGUAA
rnacentral:rRNA from 1 species